rnacentral:misc_RNA from 1 species
GAAGGGAAUAACAAAAGCAUUUCCUUCAUAACGCUUUUAAUGAUUGCUGUUCUUACAAAUAGGUGUGUUUUCAUAAAAGAGAUUCUUGAUGGCUUUGAAGCCUGGUGCUGUUUCUGGAUGUGAUAUUUCUCAUUCAAGCUGGGGAAGAGUCUCCCUGUCUAAAUCGCCGAACUGGAUGAGGAGUUUGAGUAUAACGCGGAGAUUUGUGUGGUUUGGCGCGAUAAGGGCUGAAUUGAGACAAUUUAUUGAUCAGAAUGUGGCCAAUGCUUCGGGAAGCUUGCAAAAGGAUUUCAGCUCCUUUCCAAGACCAUUAUCUGUAGCUGAUCUUUCUCCUGGUCCGGUUGAUGGGGUAAAGGUGCGGAUAUCUUAUAAGGGGCUACCGGGUUCAUACAGUGAGGAUGCUGCACUAAAAGCCUACCCUAAAUGUGAAACUGU